rnacentral:rRNA from 1 species
GACGAACGCUGGCGGCGUGCUUAACACAUGCAAGUCGAACGGAAAGGCCCUGCUUUUGUGGGGUGCUCGAUUGGCGAACGCGUGAGUAACACGUGUGUAACCUGCCCUUGACUUUGGGAUAACUUCAGGAAACUGGGGCUAAUAUCGGAUAGGAGCUCCUGCUGCAUGGUGGGGGUUGGAAAUUCUCGGCGUUUGGGGCUGGACUCGCGGCUUAUCAGCUUGUUGGUUGGGUAGGGGCUUACCAAGGCUUGGACGGGUAGCCGGCCUGGGAGGGUGACCGGCGACAUGAGGACUGCGAUACGGCGCAGACUCCAACGGGAGGCAGCAGUGGGGAAUAUUGCACAAUGGGCGGGAGCCUGAUGCAGAAACGCCGCGUGCGGGAUGACGGUUUUCGGGGUGAAAACAGCUUUCGCUUGUGACGAAGCGUGAGUGACGGUAAUGAGUAAAGAAGCACCGGCUAACUACGUG